rnacentral:rRNA from 1 species
GACGAACGCUGGCGGCGUGCUUAACACAUGCAAGUCGAACGGAAAGGCCCUGCUUUUGUGGGGUGCUCGAGUGGCGAACGGGUGAGUAACACGUGAGUAACCUGCCCUUGACUUUGGGAUAACUUCAGGAAACUGGGGCUAAUACCGGAUAGGAGCUCCUGCUGCAUGGUGGGGGUUGGAAAGUUUCGGCGGUUGGGGAUGGACUCGCGGCUUAUCAGCUUGUUGGUGGGGUAGUGGCUUACCAAGGCUUUGACGGGUAGCCGGCCUGAGAGGGUGACCGGCCACAUUGGGACUGAGAUACGGCCCAGACUCCUGCGGGAGGCAGCAGUGGGGAAUAGUGCACAAUGGGCGGAAGCCUGAUGCAGCAACGCCGCGUGCGGGAUGACGGCCUUCGGGUUGUAAACCGCUUUCGCCUGUGACGAAGCGUGAGUGACGGUAACGGGUAAAGAAGCACCGGCUAACUACGUG